UACGUAGGGGGCUAGCGUUGUCCGGAUUUAUUGGGCGUAAAGAGCGUGUAGGCGGCCAGGUAGGUCUGCUGUGAAAACUCGAGGCUCAACCUCGAGACGUCGGCGGAAACCAUCUGGCUAGAGUCCGGAAGAGGAGAGUGGAAUUCCUGGUGUAGCGGUGAAAUGCGCAGAUAUCAGGAAGAACACCAAUGGCGAAGGCAGCACUCUGGGACGUGACUGACGCUGAGACGCGAAAGCGUGGGGAGCAAACAGG
rnacentral:rRNA from 1 species